rnacentral:rRNA from 1 species
GUAGGUKGGCAAGCGUUGUCCGGAUUUAUUGGGCGUAAAGAGCAUGUAGGCGGUUAGGUAGGUCCGUUGUGAAAACUCGAGGCUCAACCUCGAGACGCCGAUGGAAACCAUCUGACUAGAGUCCGGAAGAGGAGAGUGGAAUUCCUGGUGUAGCGGUGAAAUGCGCAGAUAUCAGGAAGAACACCCGUGGCUAAGGCGGCUCUCUAGUACGUGACUGACGCUGAGACGCGAAAGCGUAGGGAGCGAACAGGAUUAGAUACCCUGGUAGUCCACGCCGUAAACGAUGGGUGCUAGGUGUAGGGGGUGUCAACUCCCUCUGUGCCGAAGCUAACGCAUUAAGCACCCCGCCUGGGGAGUACGGCCGCAAGGCUA